AUGGAUUCCAUGUUAGCUGACUUAGCUAGUAACAAACCACCAUCAACUGAUGAGCCACCAAUUGCAUCUGCUCAGGCUUUCUAUAGAAUGGUUGCUAGUGCAGAUGAGUUAGGACAUGAAAAAACUUUGCACUCGGCUUUGUCAACUAUAGCUCGCCUGCUUACCAUAAAGUCACAACACAAUCUGUCGGUAGCCUGCUAUGAUGAUAUAGUAAAAUUAAUGCAUGAACUCCUACCACCAGAUUGUAAGUUGCCCAAAGACUUCUACCGCUCCAAAAAAAUGUUAAAGGGCCUUGGUAUGCCAUAUCACAAAAUUGAUGUCUGCUAUAAUAAUUGCAUGUUGUAUUAUAAAGAUAACAGUGAGAAAGAACAAUGUGAUGUUUGUGAUACCUCCCGCUACAAAGAUGGUCCAGGAAAAAUUCCCCACAAAGUGCUACGCUACCUACCCAUAAUGGAUAGGUUUCAGAGGUUGUAUGCACACGAAAAGACAGCCAAAUUGAUGCGUUCACAUAGUGAAGCUCCCCUCUCGAGCUCUAGCAAAAUUCUGCAUCCAUGUCAUGGAGAUGCAUGGUAA
rnacentral:rRNA from 1 species